rnacentral:rRNA from 1 species
GACGAACGCUGGCGGCGUGCCUAAUACAUGCAAGUCGACAACAGCGGCGGACGGGUGAGUAACACGUAAGGAACCUACCGAUAAGCGGGGGACAACAUCCGGAAACGGGUGCUAAUACCGCAUACUUAUCGAUGGCCUUGCGGUGGAUUAGCUUGUUGGUUGGGUAACGGCCUACCAAGGCAAUGAGGCAUAGCCGACCUGAGAGGGUAAUCGGCCACAUUGGGACUGAGACACGGCCCAAACUCCUACGGGAGGCAGCAGUGGGGAAUCUUCCGAAAUGGGCGCAAGCCUGAUGGAGCAACGCCGCGUGAGUGAAGAAGGUUGUCGGAUCGUAAAGCUCUGUUGUAAGAGAAGCGGUAUCUUACAAGAAAGCAACGGCUAACUACGUGCCAGCAGCCGCGGUAAUUC